UACGUAGGGGGCAAGCGUUGUCCGGAUUUAUUGGGCGUGAAGAGCGUGUAGGCGGCCAUACAGGUCAGCUGUGAAAACUCGAGGCUCAACCUCGAGACGUCGGUUGAAACCGUAUGGCUAGAGUCCGGAAGAGGAGAGUGGAGUUCCCGGUGUAGCGGUGAAAUGCGCAGAUAUCGGGAAGAACACCCGUGGCGAAGGCGGCUCUCUGGGACGGUACUGACGCUGAGACGCGAAAGCGUGGGGAGCGAACAGG
rnacentral:rRNA from 1 species